UAGCAGGAAAUUAAGAGCAUAUGGUGGAUGCCUUGAUUCGAAGAGGCGAUGAAGGACGUGGCGUGACUGCGAUAAGCGUCGGGGAGGUGUCUAGCAACCUUUGAUCCGGCGGUGUCCGAAUGGGGAAACCUAAUUUGCCGUUGAGGCAAAUUACCCGGAGCCGUAAGGCUUUAGGGAGCAAACCCGCUGAAGUGAAACAUCUCAGUAAGCGGAGGAAAAGAGAACAAAUGUUUAUUCCCUUAGUAGCGGCGAGCGAAAAGGGAGGAGCUUAAACCAAGCAUAUAAUUUAUUAUGAGCUUGGGGUUGUAAGGUAAUAACGUUCCGGAGCAAUUCGGAGGGAGUCAAUAAAGAUAAAACUUCGUUAGCAGAAUGGUCCUGGAAAGGCCAACCAAAGAAGGUAAUAGUCCUGUAAGCGAAAACGGUUUUAUGCUCCUAGUUAUUAUUCUUGAGUAACUCGACAAAUGAAUGGGUCGGGUGAAACCGGGAGAACUAAACUCUCAAAGCUAAAUACUCUUCGAAAUCGAUAGUGAACUAGUACCGUGAGGGAAAGGUGAAAAGUAGCCCGUUGAGGGCAGUGAAAUAGUACCUGAAACCAUGUGCUUACAAAGACUCGAAGUCCGACCCGCAAGGGUUUAGGAUGACGGGGUGCCUAUUGAAGAAUGAGCCAACGAGUUUAUGUGUGUUGCUUGUCUAAAUCCUUUAGGGAUGCAGACAUAGGGAAACCAAGUGUUAAAAGCGCGUUUUAAGGUAGCACGCAUAAGACCCGAAACCAGGUGAUCUUACCAUGACCAGGGUGAAUUUCGACGAAAGCCGGAAGGAGGCCCGAACUGGUUAGCCGUGCAAUACUAUCGGAUGAGUUGUGGUAAGCAGUGAAAAGCUAAUCGAACCUGGUAAUAGCUGGUUCUCUCCGAAAUAGCUUUAGGGCUAGCGUCUGUCGUAUCUUUUUGGAGGUAGAGCACUGGAUGGUUUGAAUAGGGCGAAAGCUCGUCAAAUCAAUCAAACUCCGAAUGCCAAAAAGGAAUAACAGGCAGUCAGACCGUGGGGGCGAAGCUUCACUGGUCGAAAGGGAAACAGCCCAGAUCUCAAUCUAAGGUCCCUUAAUUUUCCCGCCUUAUGGCGGGGUUCUGAAUUUGUUUUUGCCUUCGGGCAGAUUC
rnacentral:rRNA from 1 species